rnacentral:tRNA from 1 species
UGGCUCAGUGGUUAGAGCACUGACUGCUCUUCCAGAGGUCCUGAGUUCAAAUCUCAG